GACGAACGCUGGCGGCGUGCUUAACACAUGCAAGUCGAACGGAAAGGCCCUGCUUUUGUGGGGUGCUCGAGUGGCGAACGGGUGAGUAACACGUGAGUAACCUGCCCUUGACUUUGGGAUAACUUCAGGAAACUGGGGCUAAUACCGGAUAGGAGCUCCUGCUGCAUGGUGGGGGUUGGAAAGUUUCGGCGGUUGGGGAUGGACUCGCGGGUUAUCAGCUUGUUGGGGGGGUAGUGGCUUACCAAGGCUUUGACGGGUAGCCGGCCUGAGAGGGUGACCGGCGACAUUGGGACUGAGAUACGGCCCAGACUCCUACGGGAGGCAGCAGUGGGGAAUAUUGCACAAUGGGCGGAAGCCUGAUGCAGCAACGCCGCGUGCGGGAUGACGGCCUUCGGGUUGUAAACCGCUUUCGCCUGUGACGAAGCGUGAGUGACGGUAAUGGGUAAAGAAGCACCGGCUAACUACGUG
rnacentral:rRNA from 1 species